UCGGGUUUUCAGGCACGCACCCGGAAGGACGGUUUCCGUCUCAAGCGCUGC
rnacentral:ncRNA from 1 species